UACAGAGGUCCCAAGCGUUGUUCGGAUUCACUGGGCGUAAAGGGUGCGUAGGUGGCGAGGUAAGUCGGAUGUGAAAGCUCGGAGCUCAACUCCGAAAUGGCAUUGGAAACUACCUUGCUCGAGGGUUGGAGGGGGGACUGGAAUUCUCGGUGUAGCAGUGAAAUGCGUAGAUAUCGAGAGGAACACCUGCGGCGAAGGCGGGUAGCUGGGCCGACACUGACGCUGAGGCGCGAAAGCCAGGGGAGCGAACGGG
rnacentral:rRNA from 1 species